UCGCAGUACUGGAUUAAACGUGUUCAGGCGGGACUGGGCCCAUAACCUAUUGAGCGUAUGCGAGCGCAGUAAACACAACCGUUGCUGUCGAUUGCCAAUGCUCAACUGAGGUUUUUAUUCUAGAUUCUAGUUCAAGGUAUUUACAAGUGUACAGUUGUAUAUGUGAAUAUAUUAAGCACGGUUUCUACGUAUUGAAUUGGUAUCUCAACAGGUUGUACCAAUUAUGGACGUACAGAAAAAAGGAAUAUUUUCGAUGAAAUUUUGGUAAAUUUUGAUGUGUUGUCGUUAAAAACUAAUAUUUUGCACCAAAAUGAUGAUUUUGAGAUAAAAUUAUGGUUAGGUGCUUGAAAAUCGCUAAUAUCCUACAGUGCUGCUCUUAGCAAAAUGGUAAGAGAUACCAAAAAUCUUGGAAACACAUUUUAAAAGAGUGAUAUAUAACAAACGGAAGUGAACAGCAUCGAACUAAUGAAGCAAAAAUGUGUUAAAAUGUUCAUAAUUGAAAUGAAAAAUCCUUUCAUGGUUUUAGAAUGCAAAUAGACUGUUUUAGGGCGGAAAUAGUGUUCGUUAUAGCCAUAAUUGGUGCUAUAGCCACAAUUGGUACACUUACCCUAUAUAUAUUUUUUAAAUAUGCCGAAAUCUGUCAGGAGUUUUCGGGUCUCAACACACACACACAUAGCGCGGGGAAAGUGACCGUUCGCUGUAUCAUGUCGCGAUCCCCCACCCCGCCCGGCGCUUUGAAUGAGGAUGCGCUACAAGAUAGCUGAACCAGACUUUCUUCCGAUAAGGUAGGCGCAAUCGAUCAUGCGGGGGGGGGGGGGGAUUGGUGGUGGGUGCGCGCUUUCGUGGGUGUGUGCUCGCGUGCGCGCGUACAUGCAUUUGUGCGUACGUGCAUGUGUCCGUGCGUGGGUGCGUGCGUGUGUUCGUGCGUGUGGAAACCCCAAAACUGUUUGAUUCUCUUGCGUACAUUUUCAUACGCUGCGGCUACAAAGUCCAUGCAUUUUCAAUCUCGCUACCAGAGAGACAACACAACCAUUGGAUUGGCACCCAAGGUUAUUAGACUCUAUACAGGCUACGACAAAACCCCGUUUAGACAUAUCUUCAAUAAAAAAAUGAAUUAAAAUUUUGACAGACAAAUUGGAAAGUUUGUUUACCUACAAAUUGCAAUCUUUCCGAACAUACAGCUAUCGCAAUUGAUGAGUGCUUAAAUACUACCUUUUUUCUGCGUUUCAAUUUUCGUUUUUGUGCUUUUUUAGUUUACGGCUAGCUGAGUUUAUUUAAGGAAUUAGGUUUAUCUAAGCUAAGUAAUUCAUUAAAUAGCUAUAAAUUACGAAACAAAGCAGCGAAAUAUGUCGUCCAACUACAAGUGUUGUGUAGCAUCUUGUAAAAAUAAUAGAUAUAAUGUAAAGAAAGUUGGUGUCAAUAUAUGCUUCCAUAAAUUCCCAGAAGAGAAAGAUACCAAACAAAAAUGGAUAGCCUUUUUGCCAAAGGAAAAUAUCGUGGAUACCUUCCUCAAGUAACGUGCUGUCCCAUCUAUCCUGUUACCGCAAGACACUGUUUUGAAUUUGUCGCAGUUCAAUGAACAUCAGCAGAAUAAUAACAAUGAUGAAUCUUCCCGGCCGGAACUGCAAGGUGCCACUUCAUCUCAUCUCUUACCGGACGAAAAUGAUUUAAGAUUAAUUGAAAAAGAGAACGUUUGCAAGAAAUGUAAGGGAUUAGAAUAAAACAAUUUUAAUUUAGAAGCAAAACUUAAUGAAUUAGAAGAAUGCAACAUGCAACUGGCCACUAUAAAUAACAAAUUAAGUGAUACACUGAAGGAAGUAAACGAAAAAGAAAAGGAACAACUGAAAAAGCUAGAAGAACUUGAUUAGGCUACAAAAAAUUAAAGAAGAAUGGCCACGCGCUAAUUUUGUGCAGAACAUGAAAGAUUCGCUUAAGGCUUCGCUAUCAUCAAAUCAAAUUGAUCUUAUUUUAGGAAUUAAGAAGACUGUUCGAUGGACAAAAGAAGAACUUUCCUUAGCAUUUACUCUUAGAUAUUUUAACCAAAGGGCAUACCGUUACAUAGGCGGUGAUAUGAAGAUACCAGUACCGUUACCAAGAACUUUACAACGAUAUUCUUGCAAGAUUGAUCUAAAACAAGGCAUUCUGGAAGAUAUAUUGAAAUUCAUGUGAAGUAAGGAAAAGAGAUAGCGAUAUCGUGGCGAGCGCCGAUUGAGCGAAGGAGGGAAUUUAAGCGGCGCGCGCUGCUGGGUCAGGAGGUCAGUUGAACGCGAAAUGUCGAAGGUGGAGGACGUGCGAAUUGGAGAAAAAUAAAGUGAACUGAACGAAAGCCACCCAUCUGCUUCUUUUGGCGUUAAACUGAUUUCUCACAUUCAUUGGAUCAUAUUCACAAACAUUAAAGCCAAUGGAUCGAGAAUAUGUUUUAUCGUUCGACGAGAUGAAGGUGUCUCGGGUAUUAGAAUACGAUCCAUCGGCAGAUGAAAUAGUGGGCCCAUUGAAUUAUCUGCAAGUAGUCAUGAUGCGAAGAUUGUUCAAACAAUGGAAACAGCCGAUAUUUAUCGGCUUUGAUACCAAAAUGACAAAUGAUAUCAUUAUCGAAAUAAUUUCACGAUUGAGCCAAAAAGAUAUAAAUGUAGUCGCAAUCAUUGCCAAACAAACAUUGGAUGCUGGAAGGAGCUAGGCGCGCGGGAUGACGUAGAAAACCCUAAUUUUCCACAUCCAAAAACUAAUAAGAAUGUGUAUGUGAUCCCGGAUACACCUCAUUUGCUGAAGUUGUUGAGGAAUUGGCUUCUAGAUCAUGGUUUUAAGUACAACGGCCAACUAAUCGAAACCACUAAUCUGUUGCGUAUGGUAGCCAAAAGAAUGGCGUGAAAAGAAUAUGGCGUUUUGUUAAUAAACGAAUUUUAAAAUAGCACAAGUACAAUCGCGUCGUUAUUGAAACGGUAUUUACGGUUGUCGAGGAGCCGACAAGUUGCGUUCGCAACAUUUUUUAAAAAACGCGCAUAGUUCGUGAAUACGUCGCGUAAUCAAAUUGCCAACGGUAAGACAUCGUUACAGUGUCGCGUGUGCAAAGUGAAGCUUGCAGAAUGUCCCGUACACCGAUCCCGCAUCAAGGAGAGCCUCUUCG